rnacentral:rRNA from 1 species
AUUGAACGCUGGCGGCAGGCCUAACACAUGCAAGUCGAGCGGAGCGGCGGACGGGUGAGUAAUGCCUAGGAAUCUGCCUGGUAGUGGGGGAUAACGUCCGGAAACGGGCGCUAAUACCGCAUACUAUCAGAUGAGCCUAGGUCGGAUUAGCUAGUUGGUGGGGUAAAGGCCUACCAAGGCGACGAUCCGUAACUGGUCUGAGAGGAUGGUCAGUCACACUGGAAAUGGAACACAGUCCAGACUCCUACGGGAGGCAGCAGUGGUGAAUAUUGGACAAGGGGAGAAAGCCUGAUCCAGCCAUGCCGAUUGUGGGAAGAGGGUAUUCGGAGUGUAAAGGGCUUUAAGUUGGGAGGCGUUACCAACAGAAUAAGCACCGGCUAACUUCGUGCCAGCAGCCGCGGUAAUUC